UGGGGAAUUUUAGACAAUGGGCGAAAGCCUGAUCCAGCCAUGCCGCGUGAGUGAAGAAGGCCUUCGGGUUGUAAAGCUCUUUUAGUCGGAAAGAAAGAGUUGCAAUGAAUAAUUGUGAUUUAUGACGGUACCGACAGAAAAAGCACCGGCUAACUACGUGCCAGCGGCCGCGGUAAUACGUAGGGUGCGAGCGUUAAUCGGAAUUACUGGGCGUAAAGGGUGCGCAGGCGGUCUUGCAAGUCAGAUGUGAAAGCCCCGGGCUUAACCUGGGAAUUGCGUUUGAAACUACAAGGCUAGAGUGCAGCAGAGGGGAGUGGAAUUCCAUGUGUAGCAGUGAAAUGCGUAGAGAUGUGGAAGAACACCGAUGGCGAAGGCAGCUCCCUGGGUUGACACUGACGCUCAUGCACGAAAGCGUGGGGAGCAAACA
rnacentral:rRNA from 1 species